rnacentral:misc_RNA from 1 species
AUGAAAUCAUAGCGGUCGUCUGUGCUGGUGGCAACACAUGUGCACGUCGAUUGCAAAUCCACACACCUGUGCACCUUUGACUGUGGGGUCCGCUUGUUGGUUUAUUCUGACGAGCAGCUGGUCGAACGUCGUGUUUGACUGGGGUCUCAUGGUAUUUUUACACACUCUGAAUGUAAUGGAAUGUCUUUGCAUAACGCAUAUAAAUA